UACGGAGGGGGCGAGCGUUGUCCGAAGUUACUGGGCGUAAAGCGCGUGUAGGCGGGUUGCCAAGUCCGCUGUGAAAGCCCGAGGCUCAACCUCGGAGGGUCGGUGGAUACUGGCAGUCUUGAAGUGGCUAGGGGGAGAUGGAAUUACCGGUGUAGCGGUGAAAUGCGUAGAGAUCGGUAGGAACACCAGUGGCGAAGGCGGUCUCCUGGAGCUAACUUGACGCUGAGACGCGAAAGCUGGGGGAGCGAACAGG
rnacentral:rRNA from 1 species